rnacentral:rRNA from 1 species
UACGGAGGGUGCAAGCGUUAUCCGGAUUCACUGGGUUUAAAGGGUGCGUAGGUGGGCAGGUAAGUCAGUGGUGAAAUCUCCGGGCUUAACCCGGAAACUGCCAUUGAUACUAUCUGUCUUGAAUACCGUGGAGGUGAGCGGAAUAUGUCAUGUAGCGGUGUAAUGCUUAGAUAUGACAUAGAACACCAAUUGCGAAGGCAGCUCACUACACGAAUAUUGACACUGAGGCACGAAAGCGUGGGGAUCAAACAGG